AUCCCCUGGGGGUCUCAUUAAAAUGCAGAUUCUGAUUCAAAGGUUUGGGAUGGAACCUGAGAUUCUGCAUUUCCAAUAAGCUCCCAAGUGAUGCUGA
rnacentral:pre_miRNA from 1 species